rnacentral:rRNA from 1 species
AGUGAACGCUGGCGGUAGGCCUAACACAUGCAAGUCGAACGGCAGCACAGUAAGAGCUUGCUCUUACGGGUGGCGAGUGGCGGACGGGUGAGGAAUACAUCGGAAUCUACUUUUUCGUGGGGGAUAACGUAGGGAAACUUACGCUAAUACCGCAUACGACCUACGGGUGAAAGCAGGGGAUCUUCGGACCUUGCGCGAUUGAAUGAGCCGAUGUCGGAUUAGCUAGUUGGCGGGGUAAAGGCCCUCCAAGGCGACGAUCCGUAGCUGGUCUGAGAGGAUGAUCAGCCACACUGGAACUGAGACACGGUCCAGACUCCUACGGGAGGCAGCAGUGGGGAAUAUUGGACAAUGGGCGCAAGCCUGAUCCAGCCAUACCGCGUGGGUGAAGAAGGCCUUCGGGUUGUAAAGCCCUUUUGUUGGGAAAGAAAAGCAGCAGGUUAAUACCCCGCUGUUCCGACGGUACCCAAAGAAUAAGCACCGGCUAACUUCGUG